ACUGUUCAUCAUCGUGAGUUUGGGUUUGAGAGUCGGAGUGUUGGAAGACAAAAUCGGUGGUGUAUGCAUUAUCUUUAUCAUCUAUGCGCAUGAUCCAGAUUCGGUUUUGAUCGGAACUGCCAUGGAACGUAUCAUCGGCGGCAAGUACAAGCUCGGACGGAAGAUCGGCGGUGGUUUUUUCGGAGAGAUUUUCCUGGCUACGCACGUUGAUACGUUCGAGAUCGUUGCUGUUAAGAUCUUUUGUUUCGCAGGAGGAGAGUAAAACGAAGCAUCCCCAACUUCUCUAUGAAGCCAAGCUUUACAGAAUUCUUGAAGGAGGAAUUAUCGGGUUUAUGUAAUUGACUUUGAACUCGCCAAAAGAUAUCCUGAUGCCAACACCAACCGCCACAUCCCUUACAGUCUUCCAUGGCAGGGUCUUAAGGUUGUUGACAAGAAGCAAAAAUAUGACAGAAUUUGUGAGAAGAAUAUAGCAACUCCGAAUGAGGUCUAUCUCAUGCUCUUUUUUUUUAAGAACCCUUAAUUAGAGCUCACCAUUGGAGGAGAAAAGAAUUUAGGGAUUCUAAACUUUAUAUUAACUAAAAAUUAUGAUUAAGAAAUUGAUAAGAACUUCUCAUUAGUACUUACCAUUGGAGAUGCUCUA